rnacentral:rRNA from 1 species
AGUCGAACGAUGAAGCGACUAGCUUGCUAGUUGUGGAUUAGUGGCGCACGGGUGAGUAAGGUAUAGUUAAUCUGCCCUACACAAGAGGACAACAGUUGGAAACGACUGCUAAUACUCUAUACUCCUGCUUAACAUAAGUUGAGUAGGGAAAGUUUUUCGGUGUAGGAUGAGACUAUAUAGUAUCAGCUAGUUGGUGAGGUAAUGGCUCACCAAGGCUAUGACGCUUAACUGGUCUGAGAGGAUGAUCAGUCACACUGGAACUGAGACACGGUCCAGACUCCUACGGGAGGCAGCAGUAGGGAAUAUUGCGCAAUGGGGGAAACCCUGACGCAGCAACGCCGCGUGGAGGAUGACACUUUUCGGAGCGUAAACUCCUUUUCUUAGGGAAGAAUUCUGACGGUACCUAAGGAAUAAGCACCGGCUAACUCCGUGCCAGCAGCCGCGGUAAUACGGAGGGUGCAAGCGUUACUCGGAAUCACUGGGCGUAAAGGGCGCGUAGGCGGAUUAUCAAGUCUCUUGUGAAAUCCAACGGCUUAACCGUUGAACUGCUUGGGAAACUGGUAAUCUAGAGUGGGGGAGAGGCAGAUGGAAUUGGUGGUGUAGGGGUAAAAUCCGUAGAUAUCACCAAGAAUACCCAUUGCGAAGGCGAUCUGCUGGAACUUAACUGACGCUAAGGCNNNNNAGCGUGGGGAGCAAACAGGAUUAGAUACCCUGGUAGUCCACGCCCUAAACGAUGUAUGCUAGUUGUUGGGGUGCUAGUCAUCUCAGUAAUGCAGCUAACGCAUUAAGCAUACCGCCUGGGGAGUACGGUCGCAAGAUUAAAACUCAAAGGAAUAGACGGGGACCCGCACAAGCGGUGGAGCAUGUGGUUUAAUUCGAAGAUACGCGAAGAACCUUACCUGGGCUUGAUAUCCUAAGAACCUUAUAGAGAUAUGAGGGUGCUAGCUUGCUAGAACUUAGAGACAGGUGCUGCACGGCUGUCGUCAGCUCGUGUCGUGAGAUGUUGGGUUAAGUCCCGCAACGAGCGCAACCCACGUAUUUAGUUGCUAACACUUCGGGUGAGCACUCUAAAUAGACUGCCUUCGUAAGGAGGAGGAAGGUGUGGACGACGUCAAGUCAUCAUGGCCCUUAUGCCCAGGGCGACACACGUGCUACAAUGGCAUAUACAAUGAGACGCAAUACCGCGAGGUGGAGCAAAUCUAUAAAAUAUGUCCCAGUUCGGAUUGUUCUCUGCAACUCGAGAGCAUGAAGCCGGAAUCGCUAGUAAUCGUAGAUCAGCCAUGCUACGGUGAAUACGUUCCCGGGUCUUGUACUCACCGCCCGUCACACCAUGGGAGUUGAUUUCACUCGAAGCCGGAAUACUAA